rnacentral:rRNA from 1 species
AGAGUUUGAUCCUGGCUCAGAUUGAACGCUGGCGGCAUGCCUUACACAUGCAAGUCGAACGGCAGCGCGGGGCAACCUGGCGGCGAGUGGCGAACGGGUGAGUAAUAUAUCGGAACGUGCCCUGGAGUGGGGGAUAACGCAGCGAAAGUUGCGCUAAUACCGCAUACGAUCUAAGGAUGAAAGCAGGGGACCGCAAGGCCUUGUGCUCCUGGAGCGGCCGAUAUCUGAUUAGCUAGUUGGUGGGGUAAAGGCCUACCAAGGCAUCGAUCAGUAGCUGGUCUGAGAGGACGACCAGCCACACUGGAACUGAGACACGGUCCAGACUCCUACGGGAGGCAGCAGUGGGGAAUUUUGGACAAUGGGCGAAAGCCUGAUCCAGCAAUGCCGCGUGAGUGAAGAAGGCCUUCGGGUUGUAAAGCUCUUUUGUCAGGGAAGAAACGG